AUGUUGAAUUUUUGUCCUGCACACCCUGUUAAUGAAUUGAUUUCGUGGGACCUGAUUUUGGGAGAGUUCAAACAAACAGAACAUGGUGUAACAACGUCUUUAAAAGGUCCAUUUGCAGGUGAAGCUCUCGCUUACGGCCAUACCACCCUGAACGCGCCCGAUCUCGUCCGAUCUCGGAAGCUAAGCAGGGUCGGGCCUGGUUAGUACUUGGAUGGGAGACCGCCUGGGAAUACCAGGUGCUGUAAGCCUUUUCAUUUCUCUUAGCAAACAGCAGAGGCUGCUGCUUCUUCACUGUACACAGAACGUUGUUCAGAUAUUUUUUCCACUGUUGUUGUAUAAUAUUUAAGCUUUCCGUCUAGAUGGAAUUCAUUUGAUUCUACUAUUGUUAUUAUCAUUAUCAUUGUUGUUGUUGUUGUUGUUGUUGUUGUUGUUAUCACUUGUCCACUGCAGGAUAAUAUCUAAACUUCAUUCAUGAGGACAUGUUGAAUUUUUCUCCUGCACACCCUGUUAAGGAAUUGAUUUCGUGGGACCUGAUUUUGGGAGAGUUCAAGUCAGUAAAUGCAUGAAUUAAUACAGAACUAAGUUGGUCAUCAAAUCGUAAGUACAUAAAUAAACGUCUUGAAUGGACUCUAAUCCCACAGACAAACAGAACAUGGUGUAACAACGUCUUUAAAAGGUCCAUUUGCAGGUGAAGCUCUCGCUUACGGCCAUACCACCCUGAACGCGCCCGAUCUCGUCCGAUCUCGGAAGCUAAGCAGGGUCGGGCCUGGUUAGUACUUGGAUGGGAGACCGCCUGGGAAUACCAGGUGCUGUAAGCCUUUUCAUUUCUCUUAGCAAACAGCAGAGGCUGCUGCUUCUUCACUGUACACAGAACGUUGUUCAGAUAUUUUUUCCACUGUUGUUGUAUAAUAUUUAAGCUUUCCGUCUAGAUGGAAUUCAUUUGAUUCUACUAUUGUUAUUAUCAUUAUCAUGUUGUUGUUGUUGUUGUUAUUAUCACUUGUCCACUGCAGGAUAAUAUCUAAACUUCAUUCAUGAGGACAUGUUGAAUUUUUCUCCUGCACACCCUGUAAGGAAUUGAUUUCGUGGGACCUGAUUUUGGGAGAGUUUAAGUCAGUAAAUGCAUGAAUUAAUACAGAACUAAGUUGGUCAUCAAAUCGUAAGUACAUAAAUAAACGUCUUGAAUGGACUCUAAUCCCACAGACAAACAGAACAUGGUGUAACAACGUCUUUAAAAGGUCCAUUUGCAGGUGAAGCUCUCGCUUACGGCCAUACCUCCCUGAACGCGCCCGAUCUCGUCCGAUCUCGGAAGCUAAGCAGGGUCGGGCCUGGUUAGUACUUGGAUGGGAGACCGCCUGGGAAUACCAGGUGCUGUAAGCCUUUUCAUUUCUCUUAGCAAACAGCAGAGGCUGCUGCUUCUUCACUGUACACAGAACGUUGUUCAGAUAUUUUUUCCACUGUUGUUGUAUAAUAUUUAAGCUUUCCGUCUAGAUGGAAUUCCUUUGAUUCUACUAUUGUUAUUAUCAUUGUUGUUGUUGUUAUCACUUGUCCACUGCAGGAUAACAUCUAAACUUCAUUCAUGAGGACAUGUUGAAUUUUUGUCCUGCACACCCUGUUAAUGAAUUGAUUUCGUGGGACCUGAUUUUGGGAGAGUUCAAGUCAGUAAAUGCAUGAAUUAAUACAGAACUAAGUUGGUCAUCAAAUCGUAAGUACAUAAAUAAACGUCUUGAAUGGACUCUAAUCCCACAGACAAACAGAACAUGGUGUAACAACGUCUUUAAAGGUCCAU
rnacentral:lncRNA from 15 species